rnacentral:lncRNA from 1 species
ACACCACUGCGCUGAACAAAAGCCAGGCUGAUUCACAGGGAGAUGUUCCGGGUUUGGUCAAGGUUUGCAGAAGGAAGAUUUUUAGCUAUCCCAGUCACUGCCGAGCAGACAGUGAACUUCAACUGAAGAUUAAAGAUUUUUUAUUUUGAAAAAUCCCAUUUUUCAAAAUAAAUUGGAAAAUAGCUAAGAACACUUGAAUUCUCUACAUCUGGGAGCUGGAUAUGGUCUUGAAAAUGUUUUGUUGUCACCUGGCCAUUAGAUUCUAAAUACAGUACCCUUCCUAAAUUUAGUAAUCUCUUAGAAACAGGAAGAACCAUUUGUUUUUGCACCAGUUCAUCAUGAACCACAGAAGCACUGACAGGUAGAGCUACCUUUAAAACCUCCUUCCCUUGAAGGGAAGGUUGACACUGCCCUCAGCACAAUACAUAUAUACAAGAUAGACUGGCUGUCUGCAUUUGGCUGAGAGCCUAUCCAGUCCCCUUUCAUCCUCCCCUGCCAAGCUCUGGGCGAGAGUUUGGCCAUCUUCUGGCUGUACGAACCAUCCUGCUAUGCAUGUGGGCCCAUCUUCAACAAACAGCGCUCACAAAGCCAUCUCUACCACUUGGUCCGGAGGUACAAAGGCUCCAUGGGAUAGAGGGGCUGUACUUCUGCAGGUAGGAUGAAAUCCUCAGUACUCUGGAGACCACGGUGUCACAAAGGCAAGCACUCUUCUUCCUGUCUGUGCUUUUUGCUAAGCAGCCUUGGAGCUACAAAGGUUUCACAGUCUUUGAAACAUAGACUCAUACCCUAGAAAUGUUUACAGUGGAUAAAAAGAGUCCUUAAAAUACAUGACCACAUAAGAGAAUCAUAUGGGAUCUGCUGCCGAUACACCUUCAGAGGUCUGCAUCCUGGUAGGGGUGUGCAUGAAGAGGCCCCUCUCCUCAGACAGGCAUAGGUCACUGGGUCUGUGGAAAUACUGACUUGGUUUUGAGCUGCUAUACGUACUGGCUUCUGAGGAGAGAGUUCUGCAGAGGAGGAACCGUGUCUUUGUUUUUAAUGUUU